CACUCAAACGACUGCACCACCCAGGCACCCCAAAUUACGCGGAAAAACCUGAGAAACUUUAACAGACUAUUCAAAACAACUCUCGCGGAUUGAGAAGUGUGAUCAUGAGAAGAACAUCCCUUUGAGUGUUUUCAGUUUUGGGUGAUUACAAAUAAAACCACUAUAAACAUUUGUUUUCCGAA